UGGGGAAUCUUAGACAAUGGGCGAAAGCCUGAUCUAGCCAUGCCGCGUGAGUGAUGAAGGCCCUAGGGUCGUAAAGCUCUUUCGCCAGGGAUGAUAAUGACAGUACCUGGUAAAGAAACCCCGGCUAACUCCGUGCCAGCAGCCGCGGUAAUACGGAGGGGGUUAGCGUUGUUCGGAAUUACUGGGCGUAAAGCGUACGUAGGCGGACUGAUCAGUCAGAGGUGAAAUCCCAGGGCUCAACCCUGGAACUGCCUUUGAUACUGUCAGUCUUGAGUUCGAGAGAGGUGAGUGGAAUUCCAAGUGUAGAGGUGAAAUUCGUAGAUAUUUGGAGGAACACCAGUGGCGAAGGCGGCUCACUGGCUCGAUACUGACGCUGAGGUACGAAAGUGUGGGGAGCAAACAGG
rnacentral:rRNA from 1 species